GUGGAUUAGAUACCCUGGUAGUCCAUGCCGUAAACGAUGAGUGCUAGGUGUUGGGGGGCUUCCACCCCUCGGUGCCGGCGUUAACGCAUUAAGCACUCCGCCUGGGGAGUACGGCCGCAAGGCUUAAACUCAAAGGAAUUGACGGGGACCCGCACAAGCGGUGGAGCAUGUGGUUUAAUUCGAAGCAACGCGAAGAACCUUACCAGCUCUUGACAUCUUCUGCCAACUCUAGAGAUAGAGUGUUCCCUUCGGGGACAGAAUGACAGGUGGUGCAUGGUCGUCGACAGCU
rnacentral:rRNA from 1 species